UAAUACAUGCAAGUCGAGCGGACCGACGGGAGCUUGCUCCCUUAGGUCAGCGGCGGACGGGUGAGUAACACGUGGGUAACCUGCCUGUAAGACUGGGAUAACUCCGGGAAACCGGGGCUAAUACCGGAUGCUUGAUUGAACCGCAUGGUUCAAUCAUAAAAGGUGGCUUUCAGCUACCACUUACAGAUGGACCCGCGGCGCAUUAGCUAGUUGGUGAGGUAACGGCUCACCAAGGCGACGAUGCGUAGCCGACCUGAGAGGGUGAUCGGCCACACUGGGACUGAGACACGGCCCAGACUCCUACGGGAGGCAGCAGUAGGGAAUCUUCCGCAAUGGACGAAAGUCUGACGGAGCAACGCCGCGUGAGUGAUGAAGGUUUUCGGAUCGUAAAACUCUGUUGUUAGGGAAGAACAAGUACCGUUCGAAUAGGGCGGCACCUUGACGGUACCUAACCAGAAAGCCACGGCUAACUACGUGCCAGCAGCCGCGGUAAUACGUAGGUGGCAAGCGUUGUCCGGAAUUAUUGGGCGUAAAGCGCGCGCAGGCGGUUUCUUAAGUCUGAUGUGAAAGCCCCCGGCUCAACCGGGGAGGGUCAUUGGAAACUGGGGAACUUGAGUGCAGAAGAGGAGAGUGGAAUUCCACGUGUAGCGGUGAAAUGCGUAGAGAUGUGGAGGAACACCAGUGGCGAAGGCGACUCUCUGGUCUGUAACUGACGCUGAGGCGCGAAAGCGUGGGGAGCGAACAGGAUUAGAUACCCUGGUAGUCCACGCCGUAAACGAUGAGUGCUAAGUGUUAGAGGGUUUCCGCCCUUUAGUGCUGCAGCAAACGCAUUAAGC
rnacentral:rRNA from 2 species